rnacentral:rRNA from 1 species
UACGUAGGUGGCAAGCGUUGUCCGGAAUCACUGGGCGUAAAGAGCUCGUAGGCGGUUUGUCGCGUCUGCGUGUGAAAACCCGGAGGCUCAACCUCGGGCCUGCAGUGGGUACGGGCAGACUAGAGUGCGGUAGGGGAGAUUGGAAUUCCUGGUGUAGCGGUGGAAUGCGCAGAUAUCAGGAGGAACACCGAUGGCGAAGGCAGAUCUCUGGGCCGUAACUGACGCUGAGGAGCGAAAGCAUGGGGAGC